rnacentral:rRNA from 1 species
GAUGAACGCUAGCGAUAGGCCUAACACAUGCAAGUCGAGGGGCAGCAUAGAUGUAGCAAUACAUUUGAUGGCGACCGGCGCACGGGUGAGUAACACGUAUGCAACCUACCUUCUACAGGGGGAUAGCCCGGAGAAAUUCGGAUUGAUACCGCAUAACACAGGGAUACCGCAUGGUAUUAUUUGUUAAAGAUUUAUCGGUAGAAGAUGGGCAUGCGUUCCAUUAGCCAGUUGGUGAGGUAACGGCUCACCAAAGCAACGAUGGAUAGGGGAACGGAGAGGUUUAUCCCCAACACGGGAACUGAGACACGGACCAGACUCCUACGGGAGGCAGCAGUGAGGAAUAUUGGUCAAUGGACGCAAGUCUGAACCAGCCAAAUCGCGUGAAGGACGACUGCCUUAUGGGUUGUAAACUUCUUUUAUAAGGGAAUAAAAAGAGAUACGCGUAUCUUGUUGCAUGUACCUUAUGAAUAAGCAUCGGCUAACUCCGUGCCAGCAGCCGCCGUAA